rnacentral:rRNA from 4 species
GGAUACCCGCUGAACUUAAGCAU